GUAAAAUGGUUUCUAAACUUCCAAAGAAAAAAAUUAACUGAAUAUUUUCUCUUACCAGAUCGCAAAAUGAGAACUCUGACGAACACAGAACUAGCUCUUUGUAUUGUCUGUGUUGCUUUGGCUGGAAGUGUGGCUGGUUCAGUCUAUCUCAUUUGGACCAACAAGAAGAAGAAUUGCAAAAAUGACGGUGAACCAGACAGCAGUAAUCAGCAGAGGGAUGAAGCUUCUUUGGCCCAUUCUGCACCAACCUUCAGCAGGAGAAAAGUUACCAACUCAGGGAUUUAUUCUGUUGCUGUUUUUACGAUGAUGAAGACCAGCAGUGGUGGAAGAGGAGAUGUAAGCAUGUCUGAGAGAGAGAGGAUCUAUGCUGCUGUCCAGGCUCUUGGUUUGGAUUAGAAAGCAAACAUGUGGCAUUGCUUGCUUGUUGGAAGUUGUUUUCUCAAUUUUCCAUCCUGUUCCGUCGUUUAAAACCAGAUACAUGAUAAUUCAUCAUUUUGCCAUUUAUAUCUGCUGAAACUUUUUCAAGACAGCUUUUAAUAAAGUGUUUGUGUAUUUAUGUGUUCUGCUAUAACCUUUAGUCACAGUUGCCUUUGACGUGAGGCUUAUUAAUUUAAUCAGUUAUAUCAAUCAGUUACAUUUUCAGAUAAAGGAGGGUAAAUUUAACAGCAAGAGAGAUUUUUUUUCUUCCAAAUGCUUCCAGUGUCUUGAGAAAAAUUGGGAUUGCAAUGAAAAUAACACAGAGAGCCAAGAUGGUUUGCAUAAUGACAACAGGAUUCAGGUGUGGUCCUGAAUCAGAAAAGCAAAAGUCAAAAUUUAAUUUAUUUCUUUAAAAUUAUGCAAAAUAUAUCCAUCCAUGUUCUGCAAUUCUUUAUCCAUUUUUUGUUGAGGUUGUUUAUGGGGACAAGGGCUGUCUAAGCUGAGCAAUAAAUUGGUAAAUCAAUUGAUCAAUCAACCUUUAAUGACAGAGCAUUGGUGAAUGCAGGUCACAACCAACUGCCAACCUCUGCUGCAAUUUUCAUGUCUCCCUUUCAUUUUUUUUUGUUCUCUU